GACAGAGGAUGCAAGCGUUAUCCGGAAUGAUUGGGCGUAAAGCGUCUGUAGGUGGCUUUUCAAGUCCGCCGUCAAAUCCCAGGGCUCAACCCUGGAAUGCCGGUGGAAACUGUCGAGCUAGAGUCCGGAAGAGGCGAGUGGAAUUCCUGGUGUAGCGGUGAAAUGCGCAGAUAUCAGGAGGAACACCAAUGGCGAAGGCAGCUCGCUGGGACGGUACUGACGCUGAGACGCGAAAGCGUGGGGAGCAAACAGG
rnacentral:rRNA from 1 species